GGCAUGGUUGUCGUCAGCUCGUGUCGUGAGAUGUUGGGUUAAGUCCCGCAACGAGCGCAACCCCUAUUGUUAGUUGCCAUCAUUCAGUUGGGCACUCUAGCGAGACUGCCGGUAAUAAACCGGAGGAAGGUGGGGAUGACGUCAAAUCAUCAUGCCCCUUAUGACCUGGGCUACACACGUGCUACAAUGGUUGGUACAACGAGUUGCGAGUCGGUGACGGCGAGCUAAUCUCUUAAAGCCAAUCUCAGUUCGGAUUGUAGGCUGCAACUCGCCUACAUGAAGUCGGAAUCGCUAGUAAUCGCGGAUCAGCACGCCGCGGUGAAUACGUUCCCGGGCCAU
rnacentral:rRNA from 1 species